rnacentral:tRNA from 1 species
CUGCGCCAUACACGAGGCGGUGAAGCGCUGCCUCUGCCUGCUGGGCAGAGCGACCUAUCAAGACCUGGGUUCUUCGCCCACCGCGAAGC